rnacentral:rRNA from 1 species
UACGUAGGGGGCAAGCGUUGUCCGGAAUCAUUGGGCGUAAAGAGCGCGUAGGCGGCCCUGUAAGUCCGCUGUGAAAGUCAAGGGCUCAACCCUUGAAUGCCGGUGGAUACUGCAGGGCUAGAGUCCGGUAGGGGAGCGUGGAAUUCCUGGUGUAGGCGGUGAAAUGCGCAGAUAUCAGGAGGAACACCGGUGGCGAAGGCGGGUCUCUGGGCCGAUACUGACGCUGGAGGAGCGAAAGCGUGGGGAGCGAACAGG